UACGGGGGGGCAAGCGUUGUUCGGAAUUACUGGGCGUAAAGGGUUCGUAGGUGGCCAACUAAGUCAGACGUGAAAUCCCUCAGCUUAACUGGGGAACUGCGUCUGAUACUGGUUGGCUUGAGUGCAGGAGAGGAAUGCGGAAUUCCAGGUGUAGCGGUGAAAUGCGUAGAUAUCUGGAGGAACACCGGUGGCGAAGGCGGCAUUCUGGACUGCAACUGACACUGAAGAACGAAAGCCAGGGGAGCAAACGGG
rnacentral:rRNA from 1 species